UACGUAGGGGGCAAGCGUUAUCCGGAAUUACUGGGUGUAAAGGGUGAGUAGGCGGCAUGGUAAGCCAGAUGUGAAAGCCUUGGGCUUAACCCGAGGAUUGCAUUUGGAACUAUCAAGCUAGUGUACAGGAGAGGAAAGCGGAAUUCCUAGUGUAGCGGUGAAAUGCGUAGAUAUUAGGAAGAACACCAGUGGCGAAGGCGGCUUUCUGGACUGAAACUGACGCUGAGGCACGAAAGCGUGGGGAGCGAACAGG
rnacentral:rRNA from 1 species